rnacentral:rRNA from 1 species
GACGAACGCUGGCGGCGUGCCUAAUACAUGCAAGUUGAGCGCUGAAGGUUGGUACUUGUACCAACUGGAUGAGCAGCGCACGGGUGAGUCACGCGUGGGGCAUCUGCCUUUGAGCGGGGGACAACAUUUGGAAACGAAUGCUAAUACCGCAUAAAAACUUUAAACACAAGUUUUAAGUUUGAAAGAUGCAAUUGCAUCACUCAAAGAUGAUCCCGCGUUGUAUUAGCUAGUUGGUGAGGUAAAGGCUCACCAAGGCGAUGAUACAUAGCCGACCUGAGAGGGUGAGCGGCCACAGUGGGACGGAGACACGGCCCAAACGCCUACGGGAGGCAGCAGGAGGGAAUCUUCGGCAAUGGACGAAAGUCUGACCGAGCAACGCCGCGGGAGUGAAGAAGGUUGUCGGAUCGGAAAACUCGGUUGGUAGAGAAGAACGUUGGUGAGAGUGGAAAGCUCAUCAAGUGACGGUAACUACCCAGAAAGGGACGGCUAACUACGUG